GGUCGGUGUCAGCGAUGAGCGGCGUUGUGUCGGCAUCGGAGGUGGGCAGAGUUGCAUUGGCGAUGGACGGAAUAGAGUCAGCGUCAGCGUCAACCAAGAACUGCUUGCCUGCUCAGCCACAGCAGGAAGAAGAGAGAGAGACAGAGAAAUAGCAAACAAGAGGAGCAAUUACUUGAUCCUACACUCACAGCCAGCAGCUCAGUGCACUUACCAUGGAGAUUCCAGGCACCCGUGAAGUAACGUAAACGAAUGAAGAGAAGAUCUUUACCCAUCUGUAACCAACUCCAGAAUGGAAUUAAUUUUGAUCCUACAAGGCAAACAAUGUAAAAUGAAAGGAAAACACACUAAUGCUGCAUUUGGCCUGCAAAACAUAUUGCAGUUUUACAAAAUGUCCUCAGUUAUUUUAGAACACAAGACUGUAACAUCAUUA